rnacentral:misc_RNA from 1 species
GAUGAAGAACGCAGCGAAAUGCGAUACGUAAUGUGAAUUGCAGAAUUCAGUGAAUCAUCGAGUCUUUGAACGCACAUUGCGCCCCCUGGUAUUCCGGGGGGCAUGCCUGUCCGAGCGUCAUUGCUGCCCUCAAGCACGGCUUGUGUGUUGGUCCUCCAUCCUCCUCCCGGGGGACGGGCCCGAAAGGCAGCGGCGGCACCGCGUCCGGUCCUCGAGCGUAUGGGGCUUCGUCACCCGCUCUUGUAGGCCCGGCCGGCGCUUGCCGACACAUCAAUCUUUUUUCCAGGUUGACCUCGGAUCAGGUAGGGAUACCCGCUGAACUUAAGCAUAUCAAUAAGCGGAGGA